GAAAUGCGAUAAGUAAUGUGAAUUGCAGAAUUCAGUGAAUCAUCGAAUCUUUGAACGCACCUUGUGCUCCUUGGUAUUCCUUGGAGCAUGCCUGUUUGAGUAUCAUGAAAUCUUCAAAGUAAAUCUUUUGUUAACUCAAUUGGUUUCUACUUUGGUAUUGGAGGUCUUUGCAGCUUCACACCUGCUCCUCUUUGUUCAUUAGCUGGAUCUCAGUGUUAUGCUUGGUUCCACUCGGCGUGAUAAGUUAUCUAUCGCUGAGGACACUGUAAAAGGUGGCCAAGGUAAAUGCAGAUGAACCGCUUCUAAUAGUCCAUUGACUUGGACAAUACUUUUAUGAUCUGAUCUCAAAUCAGUUAGGACUACCCGCUGAACUUAAGC
rnacentral:misc_RNA from 1 species